rnacentral:rRNA from 1 species
UACGAAGGGGGCUAGCGUUGCUCGGAAUUACUGGGCGUAAAGCGCACGUAGGCGGCUUCUUAAGUCGGUGGUGAAAUCCUGGAGCUCAACUCCAGAACUGCCUUCGAUACUGGGAAGCUCGAGUCCGGGAGAGGUGAGUGGAACUGCGAGUGUAGAGGUGAAAUUCGUAGAUAUUCGCAAGAACACCAGUGGCGAAGGCGGCUCACUGGCCCGGUACUGACGCUGAGGUGCGAAAGCGAUGGGGAG